CCUGAGCUAAUCAAAACGGAAGCGACGCGCGCAGCCGGGAGCAGAUGCUCGCGCCCCGAGCCCGCGGCCCCCGAACUAGGCGCCGGGGCGCGCGGUUGCUGGCGGGGGAAGGGCCCGAGCGCCGAGUCGGGUCGUCCCUCCUCGGCGGAGGCGCCACUGCAGCCGGUCCCCGUCAGGAAGCCGCGAGCGUCACAAACUGCGUCAGCUUCUUCAAACACAUUUCAUGGUCCCCUUACAGCCAGGGAGCCGCUGCUCCCGCGGCGGGGCCGCGGCCGGGGCUGGAAGGCGCCCCUCUGGGGAAGAGAAAGUUCCUCGGGGCCCUCCCUUUGCCCGCCCGGCGCCCGGCCCCGCCGCGCCUUGAGCCCCUCUCCGCGCGCCGCCCGCCCGGCCGCGCCGCCCACCGGCCCGCACCGAGGUCAGGUUAGGCAACUUGUGACCCCGAGGCGCCGGGCGGCCCCUUCCAGCCCGCCAGGCUCGCCCAGCUCCCGGGGCCUCCCCCCGGCCCCGCGGAAAACAGCCACGCCACAAACUUCCCUGGGCCGCGUCGGGCGGGGAAGCCUCCCGGGUCCCCGCGCAUCGCCCUUACCUUGCUCUCGAGAGGCCACGAUCCGGGCGGGCCGCGCGGGGCGCGUGGAGCGCGAGCGCGCGCGCGUGGGGCGGACUGAUGCUGUUAUUCUCAGCCCGAAUUUCUGUUAUUUUUCAUCCCGAUUUUCUCUAACCAUAAGCUGUUUAACUCUGACCUCAUAUGUGAGCUGCUCAGUUCCCAUAAUCAUCUCAGCUCUCCUGUUCUAAUCUAUAGUUUUCAAGGUACAGAAUCAAAAAAGUUAACAAUAAUUACAGUGACGACAACUAACACUUACUGAGUUUGUACUGUGGUCCAGAUAUUGAGCUAACAGAUGUUGUAACAUCCUUCUUAAUUGUCACCACAAUGCUAUGAGGUCGUUAUUGUUAAUAUUUUCUUUUUUUUUUUUUUUUUUUUUUUUUUUGAGACGGAGUUUCGCUCUUGUUACACAGGCUGGAGUGCAAUGGCGCAAUCUCGGCUCACCGCCAUCUCCGCCUCCUGGAUUCAGGCAAUUCUCCUGCCUCAGCCUCCCGAGCAGCUGGGAUUACAGGCACGCACCACCGUGCUCAGCUAAUUUUUUGUAAUUUUAGUAGAGACGGGGUUUCACCAUGUUGACCAAGAUGGUCUCGAUCUCCUGACCUCGUGAUCCACCCGCCUCGGCCUCCCAAAGUGCUGGGAUUACAGGCUUGAGCCACCGCGCCCGGCCGUUAAUAUUUUCAUUUUACACAUGAGGAACCUGAAGAGAGCUUAUGUAACUUUCCCCAAGAAGGUAGCACGUGGAGGAAUUGGAGCUGAGUUUUUAACCUGUGUUCAACUUUUACCUAAUACCUAGCAUUGCCCUUUCAGUGCUAGUUCUAUUUUUUUUUUUUUUAAUAAAAAUGUGCUGCCUCUCCGAGCAGAAUCCUUUAGAAGCAAAGGGCCCAUGGUCCAGCCUUCAGUUCACACUUCUGUACUUGGCACAGCACUUGGCAUGCUGUAGCCAAUACUCUUUUGAAAAGAGAGAUUAAGCAACUUGCCAAAAUCAUUCAGGUAGUAAAUGAUAGACCCACGUUUGGAACACAUAACCCACUCAUCACAUCCUCUCAUGAAGUUCUCAUCAGCACCAGGCUCAGUGCACCAGGUGAGUCCCCUUUCUUUUUUGAGGUCACCCCCACUUGGCUUCUGAGCAUCCCAAGUAGGAAGUUUUGUCCACUCCUACCCCCACGUUCAUUUUUCUCUCUCCUUAGCAGACAGUGGUCCUAAACCUAGUGAACUAAAUUUACUGGUAAAUGGCUCAUGGGCUAACGGCACUUUGGUGGUUGUCUUUUGGUAAUUUUAUUGUUAGGAAGAUGUUGUCAACCCCAGCACUUUCCAUUUGGGAGCUUUUCCAGAGGUCGAAAUCUCUCAAUUUACAAUCAGAACAUGAGGGCGGCAGCAAGUACUGCACAGCCCGGUCCUGGUGCGCCCCCGCCACCCCGCCACACCGUUAGUCCCACGCGCUGGCCACGUGCGCGCCCCCGGCAUAGCCUUCGGAGGCACCACACAGCAUUUUAGGAAGGCGACCCAUCACCGGGUCUUCAUGAGAGAAACGUGGCUG
ensembl:lncRNA